AGACAAAAUGAUCCGCACACGAGAAGAGAGGAGAAAAUACUUGCAAACUCAUUCAACUAUGGAGGCCCUUGAAGAAUAUCCUGGGCUAAGAUUCCCAGUUAUACUCCUCACAGAAUCACAAAGCCAGCUAGAUGUUGACAUAGACCGCAGCAUCAUGACAGGAAUGGGUCAAAUCGCAAAGAUGGUCAUAGAGGAAUGUCAGCGGCGAGCUACUGGACAGGACCUCUUUUGCAUGUAUGAGGAGGCCAAAUCAAUGCAACAUGAGGAGUGUCACAGAGGUCUGCAAGUCAUCCUGGGCACCUUGCUCCUUCCAUACCUGUUCAGAGAGAACCCCAAAGCACUUUAUGUGAUCAAUAGAAAGGAUCCAGAGGUUCCAACGCCGGUACUGGUCAUUACAGGGAACCCCUUCAUGGAGGCUUCUUUUGCUGUUCAACUCGACUUUCAGGAUGUCCUUACCCAAGAAGUUGAUGAGGUCACCCAGGCUUUGGCCACCCUAAUGUCUAUUUAUUUUGUUUUUAAUAUUGAAUACCAUAAGAGUGUAAAAAACACCCUCUGUUUCAUACAAAAAUACCUAAUGUCAAACACACCAGAGGGAAAGAUCAGCCCCACUGUAAUUAAAAUGGCCAAUUAUUUAUUUUCUUAAUUUGUUUUGUAUUGGUCGAAAUAUAUAUAUCUUUGAGGAUAUAAUGCAAAAAAAAAAGUACCAGUGACAGAAAAAUGUCUCACACACACACACUCAGAGUUUGACUCUUUGCUCUGCUGUCUCCUUUAGGUAGUAGGUAGUGUUUAUUAUUAAUUAUUUAUUUAUUUUUGUUUGUUUAUUUU